rnacentral:tRNA from 1 species
GGGGAUAUAGCUCAGUUGGUAGAGUGUUUGGUUCUCAUGCAUAAGGCCCUGGGUUCAAUCCCCAGCAUCUCUC